rnacentral:rRNA from 1 species
GAUGAACGCUGGCGGCGUGCAUAAUACAUGCAAGUCGAGCGAAGCGGGGACGGGUGAGUAACACGUGGAUAACCUCCUAUAAGACUGGGAUAACUUCGGGAAACCGGAGCUAAACCGGAUGCUUAUAGAUGGAUCCGCGCUGCAUUUGCUAAUUGUUAAGGUAACGGCUUACAAAGCCAACGAUGCAUAGCCGACCUGAGAGGGGUAUCGGCCACACUGUAACUGAGACACUGUCCAGCCUCCUACGGGCGACAGCAUUAGGGAAUCUUCCGCAAUGGGCGACAGCCUGACUGAGCAACGCCGCGUGAUUGUUGCAGGUCUUCGGAUCGUAAAACUCUGUUAUUAGUGCAGCGGUACCUAAUCAGAAAGCCACGGCUAACUCCAUGCCAGCUGCCGCGGUAAUUC